rnacentral:rRNA from 1 species
GGCGGCGUGGAUAAGACAUGCAAGUCGAACGCUGAUUUCAGGGUAGCAAUAUUCUGAGGUCGGAGUGGCGCAAGGGUGCGUAACACGUGGGCAAUCUACCGUGAAGUUGGGGAUAACUUGCUGAAAGGCAAGCUAAUACCGAAUGUGAAAAUUAUGAGGCAUCUCUAGAUUUUCAAAGUUGGGGACCGUAAGGCCUGACGCUUCACGAUGAGCCUGCGGCCUAUCAGCUAGUUGGCGAGGUAACGGCUCACCAAGGCUAAGACGGGUAGCUGGUCUGAGAGGACGACCAGCCUCACUGGAACUGAGACACGGUCCAGACACCUACGGGUGGCAGCAGUCGAGAAUUUUUCACAAUGGGCGAAAGCCUGAUGGAGCGACGCCGCGUGGGGGAUGAAGGGCUUCGGCCCGUAAACCCCUGUCAUUUGCGAACAAACCUCUCUGCUUAACAUGCGGGGAGCUGAUUGUAGCGAAAGAGGAAGGGACGGCUAACUCUGUGCCAGCAGCCGCGGUAAUACAGAGGUCCCAAGCGUUGUUCGGAUUCACUGGGCGUAAAGGGUGCGUAGGUGGUUGGGUAAGUCUGAUGUGAAAUCUCCGAGCUCAACUCGGAAAUGGCAUUGGAUACUAUUCGGCUGGAGGGUUGGAGGGGGGACUGGAAUUCUCGGUGUAGCAGUGAAAUGCGUAGAUAUCGAGAGGAACACCAGUGGCGAAGGCGAGUCCCUGGACAACUCCUGAC